rnacentral:rRNA from 1 species
CCCUUCGAUGUUCUGGGCUGCACGCGCGCUACAAUGACAAAUUCAACAAGUUUAUUUAAAUCGCUGUUUUGAAAAAAUUGGCAAAUCUUUUGAAAUUUUGUCGUACUAUGGAUUGUUGAUUGAAAUUAUUCGACAUGAAAAAGGAAUACCUAGUAAAUGUGAUUCAUCAAAUUGCAUUGAUUAUGUCCCUGCCCUUUGUACACACCGCCCGUCGCUCCUACCGAUUGAGUAAUCCGGUGAAUAAUUCGGACCGAUUGCGAUGUCAGUUCCUGGCGCCGCAGACGGAAAGUCUAGUGAACCUUAUUACUUAGAGGAAGGAGAAGUCGUAACA